rfam:Cavia porcellus supercont2_46 genomic scaffold, whole genome shotgun sequence.
GGGGAUUUAGCUCAGUGGCAUAAGCACCUGCCUUGCAAGCAGAUGGUCAUGAGUUCGAUCCUCAGUACCG